GGCGUGGCGGCCGCAGGCCUGGCCGGACCCGCACAGGGUCGCGGGAGGGGGGCCGCGCUAGCAGUCUUUUGAACCUAAGUCCCGCAGCGAUUGGCCAGCCCAGAGGGAAUUGCAGCCCGUUUCACAGAGGAGGAAACUCAGGACGAGACUGGGAAGUGACUUAGACAAGGGCACACGGCCAUACUUGGCUCCAGGCGCUUCUCCUGGCGCCCGCUCUUUCCACGUCGCCACGAGGUCUCCACGGAACCCCAUGUUGUAAAAGCUGUCUUCUCGAGGUUGGACGAACCCUGCCCUAGGUGAGUCCACGCUUGGGUGCAGCGCUGCUCUGGGGGAACAUAGGCGCGACCUGUGUGGUGCACUCAUCCUGACCUGGGUCACACCAUGCCCUGGAGCUGCUGAUGGACUUGAGGGACAACCACUGGAAGGGAGGCCCCCCUCCCGAGCACCUGAGUAGAACAGGUUUGGCAGAUACUGAACCGCUGAGACUCCGGAGAGGAGGGGUUAGUGGACAGAGAGGCGGAGGCGGGAGGGAUCUUCGCGCACCCCUCUCCCUCUGCAAGCCCGGAAGUGCUGGCUUCCAGCUCCACCGCGGUUGUACCAAGUAAUGAAAUAGGACCCAGUGGACCGAGUGGCGUAGGGGCACCUGCUCCGUGGCAGGUGCUGGCAGAACAGGGGAGAUCGGCUGCCUGCCUUCAAGGAGCCCACCGAGUAGACUAUAGCAAUAAUAGAGUAAUCAGCACCUGUAGAGCGCUUUGUGGAUCGCCCUGCUACUUUUAUUUUUGUUUCCUCCUGUAAUCCUACAUGCAAGAGUAUGAGGAAGGAAUUAUCAUCUUCAUUUGGUUGAGUGAACAGACUCAAGAGAGGGGAGAGGACCUGCCCAAGAUUACACAGUGACAGAGAUAGGACUUGAACAGAAGUCUUUUCUUUUUUAAUUUUUUAAAUGUUUAUUUAUUUUUGAGAGAGACAGAGAGCGAGCUCCUGAGCAGGAAAGGGGCAGAGGGAGAGAGAGAGAGAGAGAGAGAGAGAGAGAGAAUCCCAAGCAGGCUCUGCGCUGACAGCGCAGCUCUCACAAACCCUGAGAUCACGAUCUAAGCUGAAAUGAAGAGCCGCUGCUUAACCACCUGAGCCACCCAGACGCCCCCAGAAGUCUUUUUAGAUCAGGCACAGCCUUGUGCCUUGGCUCGGUGGCUUCCAGGGUGCAGUCAUACCUGCUUCCUUAUUUGAGCUUCACACUUGUCCUAGGACGUGGAAGGACAGCUCUUAGUCCUGGUUCCACAGGUGAGGAGUUGGAAUGACUUACCAGUUCUCUUGGGGAGCAGAUGCUCCUCUGUGCACACCCUUCCUAUUUCCAUGUGGGACUUUGUGCCUUUGGCCACAUUGCUUGAAGCUGUACCCUUGGCAACUCCAGCCCCCAUACUCCCCCUGUUGCCUUUGGGUCUGAGUGCCUAGUCUUGUUUUCAUGAGCUUGCCGUCAGUCGAGACGGUGAGCUGACAAGUGUCCUGAGCACGAAGGCAUGCCCUGUUACUGAGUACCCCCCCCCCGCAAACAGUUGGUGCUUGGUGAAUCUGUAAUGCCAUUAACAACGAAUCAAGCAAAAUAAACCUUUGACCUACAUUAGAAGAAAUUUAAAUUAGAUCCACAAAAACAUCUCCGUCAUCUAGCUAUCCAGCAUCAGAAAUGGGUUGCAUUCCCUGUCUCCACGGUCUUGGGUAGGUCAGCCUUCAAGACAGGAAGUUGGACCUCAGGACCUUUUCUAGGACCCCUCCAGUCCUUCUUGGAAGCCAUUAAAGGUACUCAAGAACACCAGUCACCCUUCCCCCAUGGCUGUGACUUGUCCACUUUUAUCUCUCAUGGAUAUUUAAAAUCCCAGAUUGUUAGCCUCAGCUACCCAGCAUGCCUCUUGGCACCUUCCCCACCAUCCGCCGGCAUUGUGGGCUCUGGGAAUGAGACAAAUACUUAAUAUCAGCUUGAGCCAAAUGUAAUUAGGAACAUCAAUCUGCUGCCCACAACCCAUGUGACACGCUCCAAAGGCAGACAGAAAAAGUUCCUGAUCCCUCACGUGCUGGUGGCUCACCCCUCUUGUCUCAUGUCCCCAGUCAGGACGGAGGUCUGGGAGAGUGAGGACCCUCUCAAAGAACUCUGCAUCCACUUGCCAAAUCAAGGGUUUGGCCCAGAGAAGAUACUCAGAAAUGCGUUUUCUGUAGUGCAGUUGUCUAUACCACGAUACCUCCUGCCCCAGGUCUCCCACCCCGCAGCCCAUCUUAGUUUGGAGUCUCCCGAAAGCAGAGCCUGAGGAAGGAGUUGGAUGCCGGUGGUCUAAUGGGAAGGUGAUCUCUGGGACCAGGCAUGGAGCUGCAAUGGAAGCUGAGGGAAACUGAGGGAAUGCCCUGCAAAUUGGGGAGUAAAUGAGAGUGCGCUUGUCUCCCCUAGACACUUUGGCGCCUCGAUGCUUUAGACUAUGCUCUCUCCUUGGCCUCGGAUGCCUCUACCCCGCUUUCUCUGCCUGGCAGACUCCUAUUCAUCUUUCAAAGCCCAGCUCAAAUGGCACCUCCUCUAGAUGGCUCUCCUGACACGACCUCCACAGUGGCCUGAUCCAAACUGUGUCAUAAUGGCCAGAACUAAGUAGAUUUGUCCUCUUUGGAUGGGCUCUGACCAUGUGUUCUCUCUUUCUAAUCACAAGGCAUGGCUGACACAUGGGGCAUGCUGGGUAACGGCUCAACCAAUCCAAUAAGACAUCACCUUUAGCUUCUGCCUUAGUAACCCCUUGGCUCCGGUCCCGGCACCCCAGAGUGAGGCGCUGGGUCUCUCAAAGUCAGGCUCCGCCCUGACUAGUGUGUUCAUUUGCCCGGGCGCCAUGUUGGGAGUGAGAAGGGCUUGGUCCUUGCCCACGGACGUGGGGACACAUCCCAGACCUGCUGCACCGUAGCAGGGAACGGAGGGGAAUUUCCAAAGCCAUGGAGCCCCAGAGGAAGGGGGUGUUCCUCUUGUGCUCACUGGCCGCCUCGUUCAUGCCAUCCCCUGAUCUACAGGCACAUCCCGCCUGCCCUUGGGUGCUCGGUCGACAGGCCCCGCAGACCUCACUGCCCCUCAAAUCCGUCGCCUCCUCUCCAUCUCCAUUACCACUGCCCAGUGCAGCCAUUUAUUUUGCUUGGGCCUCCCACCAAUCAUUCUCUACCCAGCAGCUCAGGCUUCCCUGAGGAAACACACAAAGACCUGCCUUCUUGAAAUCCAUCAGGGGCUCCCUGAUGCCUUCAGGAUGAAGCCCCAACAGGGCCCUCCAAGGCACACCCCAGCCCCUUUAAUCCCUAGGCUUCCUGUCUCCGUGACACUCUUGCCCAUCGCUCCCCCCUCAGCGCCCAUCGGAGUCUUCCUCUUUCUUUCCUCCGAUGUUGCCUCCUCCAGGGAGCCUCCCUGGACUAUGACCAGGACUGUGAUGGUUCAGAUGCCAGCCUCUGUGCCACUUUCCGUAUUCCCGGAGCUUCCUUCUGCACUUUCGCAUUGUUUUGUCAUUUCCUGUUUGUGUGUUGGGCUUCCUGGAGGAGGAGGAGCUGCUUGAGGACAGGGACUUCUCUUUUUCUCGGUGGUUCCAGCGCAUCGCUUCGGCCCUUUCCCUCUAUACAAUUCUCCUGGUCCCCAGUUCUCCCUUCCUAUCUCUUUUCCAUUGUCUUCCCAGUGUCUCUCCCCCGCUACCUGCCUCAGUUCCUGAGUUCUCUCCACCUCGUGUCGCCACUGUCCCCGCCUUUCCAUGCCUCGAAUCUGAGUGUCUGUGACCUCUCCACACUUCUGCACCAACAGACCCCACUCGUGCCUGCCUUUCCCACUCUGCCCUUCACCCCCCACCCCUUCCACUGCUCCUCAUGCCUGGCUGGGGGCUCUCCUUCCUCUUGCCUUCCCUCUGCUGGACGUUCAUGCUCUGUCUUCCUCCUGUCUGUCCCCCAGCUCUGCCCCCCUGUCCUCUCAUGUCUGUGAGUGCUUUUGUCUCUAUGUUCCUGUCCCUGCCUCGGUCCGUCUCUCGCCCACUCUCUCUCUCCUUGUCCCUCACUCCCUUUCUCCCUGGCCCCUAGACAAUGCACAUAAUACCGACUUUGGCAAGGGGGCCCCCGACGUGGGGUGUCAUCCUUCACCCUGUAUCUGAGGGGUGGUGAUCAGUGAGCCUCCUGAAAGUAGGCACAUCUGUGUGUCCUUGGCUGGGGACACCCUCACCUGGGCCACAGGCUCUUCACCUGUGCCCCACUCUGUGAACCUGUGUGAGCGCGUGUGGGUGUGUGUGUCCAUAGGCGUGCUGCACACAUGUGGAAGGCACGGAAGCGGAUGAAGGAGAAAGAGCCACAGAACGGGGUUCAGUGAGGGAAGCCGGAGGUCAGCGCCUCCCCGCCCCCGCCCCCCGCCCCCAGUCUGUUCUUCCAGCUCUCUCUGGGGCCACGAUGGUAAACAGGCACGUUUAGUCGCAGGGAGGGAAGAUGGUUUGCACAGGCAGACAGUGCACGCGCAGCCCAGAGACAGACGUGUUCCAGAAACACCGCCUACUUGCAUAGCGUGCGGCGGUUAAGGGCUGCGCUCUGGGGCCGCGAUGCCUGUGUUCAAAUCCUGGUUUCCCCACACUACCUGCGUGAUCAGAACAGUUGUUUGACCUCCUUGUACCUCGGUCUCCUCCUCUCCAGCACGGAGAAUAACAACACUGGUCGCGGAGAACUGUUACGGGAUCUCAGUGACAGAGCACUGGGGACAGGGUAUCGGCCUGAGGAGCUUGUGGGUUAGGACUCCUCCGGGGUGCAGGGAAAGGAAUCAGGAGGUCUGAGCUCUAGCUCAAGCUUUGCCACGCGUGAGCAUGUGGCUUACCAAAGCCCCAUGGCCUCGCCAAGCCUCGGUUUACUCAUUUACAGAAUGAGAUUACAGACACCCAUCUACUCUAGAAAUACCGACUGGCAAACAUUUAUUAAAGUUGGAAAAUGUUUGGGGCACCUGGGUAGCUCAGUUGGUGAAGCGUCUCACUUGGGCUCAGGUCACCGUCUCACGGUUCGUGGGUUCGGACCCCGCCUCUGGCUCUGUGCUGACAGUGCGUAGCCUGCCUGGGGUUCUCUCUCUCUCUCUCUCUCUCUCUGCCACCUCCCCACUUACUCUCUCUCUCUCCCUCUUUCUCUCAGAAUAAAUAAAUGAACUUAGUUGAAAUAAAUAGAUAAAGAUGAAAAAUGUUUGGGGAAAAAAAGAAGAAAGGGGGAAAACCACCCUGCCAUGCCCCCAACUACCAACAGAGGGUGUGAGCGGUUCCUUGUAAAGAGCCACCUGGGACCUGGGAACCACAUAUCCAGCCUUGAGUUCCUUUUGAACCUCAACUUUGAUCACACCUACAUCAGUGGUUCUCAUAGUGUGGGUCCCAGACCAGCAGCAGCUUCGCCUGGGAGCUGGUUAUAAACGCAGAUUCUUGGGUCCCACACCAGGCUCACUGAUGCAGAAACUCUGGAGGUGGGGUCCAGCAGUGUGUUUAAAUAAGUCUUCCUGGGAUUCUGGGAAACACUGAUUUUCACCAUAGAGUAUGGUGGGCGCCCGUUGGCGGACGGGUAAGAAAGUGCUUCACAAACCACGCGGAACCGAGAGGAAGGGGCUGUUUCAUUUCCAUCUCUCAGGCAACGUACUUGAAUGUUAACCUGGGCUUCAAAAUCUUAGCCAGAGGCUUUUAAAAUCUUUCCACUGAACACAAGAUUACAGGCACGUCAGGGACAGGAGGAGGCGAGGGGAGUCGGCCUGAAACAGCUUCAGAGAGGGGCCGUGGCUUUGGAUUUCCAUGCUUUGGCUUGAAACAGUGUGCAAACUCAGUGGCUCCAGGUACCGCCCAGGGUUAGCCGCCCUUGGCUUUCCCGAAGAUGCCCCCAGGAAUGAGAAUGGCAUGUAUCCAGAUGGCCUCAUGGGAGAGAAGCUCUUCAAUUUGGAGGGCAAGGGUGGGGCCUCCAGAGACUCAGAGACAGGUCUCAGAGAUCCGCUUACAGCCCAGCCGCCCUUCCCGGAUGCACUCCAGCCAGACGAGUCCCCGACAGCAGUGCUGCCCCCCCCCCCCCCCCCCCCGUCCUGCUCACUCUCCCCCUCGGUGCCUGAUUCCCCUACCGCUGCCUAAGGAAUGUUCCGCACCAGUCUCCUCCAGGUUGGCUCAGCAGAAAAAGCCCUUUCAUUCCGAGGAUACUCCCGUCGCCCGGACACUCUGUCCUCUCCCUUUUCUGAGCUCCCAGCACUCACCAGCUCGUCCAUGUUAAAUACCCCGAGGUGUCAUUGUUGCAUUUCAGCCCCUUAUCAUUUGUAAAGAGCAGGCUUUGGACCAGAUGGUGGCCAAGGUCUCUGCCCACUGCAAGAUGUGCUGAUUCUGGUUCACAAGAACAAGGCUUAUCUCCACCCCCGGAAGGAGCUGCCCUUAGUGCAUGGGGGCCUUGUGGAAAUUUGUGUCUUGGGGGAGGAUCCAUGUCUAUAUAAACAAUUUGAUUUUAAAUUUUUUUUUUCAACGUUUAUUUAUUUUUGGGACAGAGAGAGACAGAGCAUGAACGGGGGAGGGGCAGAGAGAGAGGGAGACACAGAAUCUGAAACAGGCUCCAGGCUCCGAGCCGUCAGCCCAGAGCCCGACGCGGGGCUCGAACUCACGGACCGCGAGAUCGUGACCUGGCUGAAGUCGGACGCUUAACCGACUGCGCCACCCAGGCGCCCCAACAAUUUGAUUUUAAAAUGCACUACACAGGGGCGCCUGGGUGGCGCAGUCGAUUGAGCGUCCGACUUCAGCUCAGGUCAUGAUCUCACAGUUUGUGAGUUUGAGCCCGGCGUCGGGCUCUGUGCUGACAGCUUGGAGCCUGGAGCCCGCUUCGGGUUCCGUGUCUUCCUCUCUCUCUCUGCCCCUCCCCCACUCAUGCUCUGUCUCUCUCUGUCUCAGAAAUAAAUAAACAUUAAAAAAAAAAAAUGCACCGCACGAUUCUUGGCCCAUGUGGGGCACGGUGAUUUAUCAAUGAAGAUUUAUAAUCACGCAUACAGAAAAGAAACUAACUUACUUGUUUAUUGCCCAGUCCGUGCGGAUGAAGAUUCCUAACAGAAUCCAAGAGCCAUCUUCUUUUCCUGUUCUUUAUUGUCCAAUAUGUCAUUCCUGGUUAAUCCUUUGUCUUCCACCAUGAGAAAAAGACGAGAACGUGGUUAUUAUUCACAACGCCGUGGUUCUUAGGAACCUGCUCGUUAUCAGAACGGUAUGGAUCUGCUCACCUCUGCAGCUCUCUGCUCCUGUUUCUUUCAUGCCAGUCGCAUCAGUCGUGACUCUGCGUCAUCCGUUGGGUUGUCCAGAAACAGCGGCUUCCCCUGACUUUCUCAAAGGGUCUUCAUCUGCUUUAUUGAUGAUGCCCAUAAAUUGCGAGUCUUACCCAAUAUGUGGGAGACCGAGAAGGAUCAUUCGUUUUGUGGUCAUAAGUUGACCGUUCAGAAUGCCAGGGUGGGAAUGACAAGUGCUUUAGGCCACAGAAGACUGCACUGGGGUGGAGACGUGCCCUGGCUGGUCACGGAGGCUGGCACCAGGGCAAAGGUCGUUCGCUAACACCCUGUGCUGUAGGCCAGAGGUGACACUAUGGGCAAAUCAUGGAUGGGCGAGAGCCACCACACAGACUCACACACAGGGCUCGAGCCCGAGGGUCAGCAGCGGACUGAUGGCAGCCCAGAGGCCUGAACUUGUCCUGACUCUGCACGGGAAUCGCUCCUCAUCAGUGUGGCAGCCCCAUUUCAGUGGCGCCAUCUCUCCUGACCUCCACCCUGCAGAAACGAUAGCACCAGCCCGAUUGUGGGAACCAGCCACCCACCCGUCCACCCUCUUGGAGUUGAGAGCUGGUUACAGGGCUCUGGGACAGCUCCCCAAGUGUGAGUCCCGGUGCUCCUGGUGGAGGGUUAUCUAGCCAACCCCAUGACCUGGGGGGAAAGGUGAAAGGGUACCCGAAGGAGACGAAUGGGGGACUGAGGCUCAGGCGGGGUCCAGGCCAGGCUCCCAGGCAUCUUGCACUGGGGGCACUGUAGGCCCUGACUGGUCUCAGGUACUAACUAGCAGGGGAUUUUAAAAGUUUUGAAGAAGGUACUCCAUGAGGUGCGGGCAAUACUGUCCUAGGUAGAUCUUUGCCGUCCUGGGAAGGGUUUUGUUUUCUGCCUCUUUCUCUCCCUCUCUGCCUUGGCCUUCUGUGCUCAACAGUUCCCUGUGGAUUGGCUGGGGUAGGUAAAGGCUAGCUGGGGGGGUGUCUUCUCCUUAACUUGCUGUUAAGGCAGGGCUCCUCAAACAUGAAUGAACCCCCGGGGCAUCUUGUUAACAUGUAGAUUCUGGUGCAGUAGGUCUGGGGCUGGACGAACACUCUGCAUCUCUAAAAGCUCACAGAUGAUCUCCAUCCCCAAACUCUUCCUCAGCCCGGAACAUGGUCUUUAGCCGCCCGCAGCCGCGUGUGCUAAUCCAAAUUCCUAAUCGUCUUCCUCCAAACUUCUUUCCCAAAGGACAAAAUCCUGCCGGGGCCCCCUGGAGGUGGGAAGAUGAGUGUUUUCUGCCAUCAUCAGACAUGGGGACCCAAGGUCAAGGAUUUCAAGGUGAGCCGUUUCAGGGGCUGGGUCCCUUUAGGUCCAUUGUCUCCAUCUGUCUUUACCCACAGUCCUAGAGGGGGUUUAUGACCAUUUUACAGAUGAAGUAAUGGAGGCUCGGAGAGUUGGAGCCCAAGGUCAACCCAAGAGGCGGUGAUGGAGGCAAGAUUCGCCUCUGGGUCAGUGUGGCUCCAACCUGGGCUCUUUCUGCUGCACUGAAUUGGUCUCUUGUCUUUUUGGACACAGAUCCUUCCCUGUGCUCCCCUGCUGCUUAGCUGGGACAGGCCUGUCUUCCACAGUCUCUGUGUCCCCCAGGGGACAAAGAAAGGAGAGCAUGGAAGGGCCCCGAGUUUCCUACUUGGGGUUCCCCAGGGGAAGUGUAAGCCAGAGAGCACCUACCAUAACCACCCAACCAUCCACGGAAGGAGAGAGAAACAGCCCGGCCUGCAGCUUUGCCCUGUGUUCCAGGAUCACCUCUGCGAAGAUGCUUGCUGAGGUGACCACCAGAGGAGCCUCUCCCUGCAGGUGACACUCUGCCCCGAGCCUGCUGGGAAGGGCACAGAGCCCACCGGAAAAAUGACUCCUGAGCCAAAGAACACACAUCGGUCCCCACACUGUGAGUUUUUGGCACAGGGAGAAGGGAGAGGGGGAGGACGAUCUGUCACUGCCGGGGCCAAGCCUUCCCCUCUCUGCACCUCAGUCUCCCCACCUGCAAAAUGGGAGCAAAGCUCCCCAGGGUGACAGCACCAAACACGGGUGAGGGUGUGGAGACACAGGGACUGUCCUUCAUCGCUGGUGCAAACGCAAGGUGGCACAGCCACUUUGGAAGACAGGGUGACAGUGUCUUACCAGAUUAAACAUACUCUUACCAUACGAUCCAUUGAUUAUGCUCCUUGGAAUUUACCCAAAGGAGUUGAAAACCUACAUCGACACAAACACCCACAGGAGGUGUUUAUAGCGGUAAACAGCCUCGUUCGUAAUUGCCCAAACUUGGAAGCAACCGAGAUGUCCUUCAGCAGGGGAGUGGGUAACCCUCAACAGUACAUCCAGACAACGGAAUAUCAUUCAGCACUAAAAAGAAAUGAGCUCUCAAGCCAGGAAAAGACACGGAGGAACCUGACGCGCAUGUCAUGAAGUGAAGGAAGUCUGUCUGAAAAGGCCACAUACGGUAUGAUUCCAGCUACAUGACCUUCUGGAAAAGGCAAGCUAUGGAGACAGCAAACAGAUCAGAGGCUGCCAGGGGCAAAGGGGAGACGGGAGGAAUAGGCGGGGCACAGAGGAUUUUGGAGCAGUGAAACUAUUCUGUACGCUCCUUAACGGUAGGCACAGGACAUCACACAUUUGUCGAAACCCACAGACUGAACGACACCAGGCAGGAACCCUGAUGCAAGCUAUGGACUUUGGGUGACAAUGACGUGUCAGUGUAGGUUUAUGGAUCGUAGCAAAUGUCCCGCUCUGCCGUGUGCAGGACGUUGAUAGAAAGGCGAUGUCUGUGUUUGGGGGCAGGGGUGGGUGGGCAGUCUGUAUUUUCUGCUCUAUUUUGCCGUCAGCCUAAAACUGC
rnacentral:lncRNA from 1 species